rnacentral:rRNA from 1 species
UACAGAGGCCUCGAGCGUUAGGCGGAAUCACUGGGCUUAAAGCGUGUGUAGGUGGAUGCCUAAGUGUUUUGUGAAAUCCCACGGCUUAACCGUGGAAUUGCUUGACAUACUGGGUGUCUUGAGCCACUCAGGGGCUACCGGAACAAAUGGUGGAGCGGUGAAAUGCGUAGAUAUCAUUUGGAACGCCAAUGGUGAAAACAGGUAGCUGGGGGUGUGCUGACACUGAGACACGAAAGCCAGGGGAG